CCUACGUGAGGCAGCAGUGGGGAAUAUUGUGCAAUGGGCGCAAGCCUGACCCAGCAACGCCGCGUGAAGGCAGAAGGCUUUCGGGUUGUAAACUUCUUUUCUCAGGGACGACGGAUGUGACGGUAACUGAGGAAUAAGCCACGGCUAACUACGUCGCAGCAGCCGUGGUAAUACGUUGUAGGCAAGCGUUAUCCGGAGUUACUGGGUGUAACGGGCGUGUAGGCGGGAGAGCAAGUCAGCUGUGAACACCAUGGGCUCAACCUGUGGCCUGCAUUGGAAACUGUUUUUCUUGAGUAGUGGAGAGGCGGACGGAAUUCCUGGGGUAGCGGUGAAAUGCGUAGAUAUUAGGAGGAACACCAGUGGCGAAGGCGAUCUGCUGGCCAGCAACUGACGCUGAGGAGCGAAAGCGUGGGGAGCAAACAGGAUUAGAUACCCUGGUAGUC
rnacentral:rRNA from 1 species